rnacentral:rRNA from 1 species
AAACUGAAGAGUUUGAUCCUGGCUCAGAUUGAACGCUGGCGGCAUGCCUUACACAUGCAAGUCGAACGGCAGCACGGGUGCUUGCACCUGGUGGCGAGUGGCGAACGGGUGAGUAAUACAUCGGAACAUGUCCUGUAGUGGGGGAUAGCCCGGCGAAAGCCGGAUUAAUACCGCAUACGAUCUACGGAUGAAAGCGGGGGACCUUCGGGCCUCGCGCUAUAGGGUUGGCCGAUGGCUGAUUAGCUAGUUGGUGGGGUAAAGGCCUACCAAGGCGACGAUCAGUAGCUGGUCUGAGAGGACGACCAGCCACAC